rnacentral:lncRNA from 1 species
UAAAUCCAUUGUUCCCUAAGGCUUGUUGAGAUGUCCUAGCACUUGCUAUAAUAAAAAAAUGUGAUGAGGUCAAGAGUUUGCACUUCGCCAGUCAAAUCCUUAGCUCAAAGGUUUUAAAUUUGGGAAUUCAUAUCACUUCUGUUGUCUGGGGCUAGCCUUGUUAAUGAGGAGCUGGAGAAGCAUGCUACCUAAAUAAAUGUGAUGUGUGGGUGGCCGGUGUGAACACAGGUGUUGAAAAGAUGGAAACUGGGCCUGGCCUCGCUGAGUCAGAAUCUAAUGAGGGUAGAGAGUGAGAGAACUACUAACCUGAUCCUAUAUGCUGCACCUAGGAGGAGGAGUUUGCUGGUGAGAGAUACUCCACAUGGACAUAAGGAGGGGUGGGAUGAAGACUUGAGAGUGAUCCAAAAGAUGGGACACAUCAAGAUUCUGCCCUGGAGCCAUCUGUCCUCUCUGCUGAAUUUGGUAACAGACUGGAGAACUUAGCUGGUAAGGCUGUACAACUUUCAGAAGCACAUAUACAAAGAGAAAUGGCAGAGUGAAAUAUUGAGUUAAGGGCUCAAC